AACGAACGCUGGCGGCAGGCCUAACACAUGCAAGUCGAACGCCGUAGCAAUACGGAGUGGCAGACGGGUGAGUAACGCGUGGGAACAUACCCCUCGGUUCGGAAUAACUCAGGGAAACUUGAGCUAAUACCGGAUACGUCCGAGGUCUUAAUCGGCCUUGGAGAAAGAUUUAUCGCCGGAGGAUUGGCCCGCGUCUGAUUAGCUUGUUGGUGAGGUAAUGGCUCACCAAGGCGACGAUCAGUAGCUGGUCUGAGAGGAUGAUCAGCCACAUUGGGACUGAGACACGGCCCAAACUCCUACGGGAGGCAGCAGUGGGGAAUAUUGGACAAUGGGCGAAAGCCUGAUCCAGCCAUGCCGCGUGAGUGAUGAAGGCCUUAGGG
rnacentral:rRNA from 1 species